CAGGACCUGAAGGCCAACGAGUCCCGCCUGAGGGACAUCAACAAGGUGGCAUGUGAACUGGAGUCAGAAGGUCUGAUGGCUGAGGAGGCUCCUAUGGUUCAGGCUCAGCAACAAGAACAUCUGGGUUCUGCUCCUGGAAAGGAUGAAGCCGACUCUAACCCCGGCUUUCCACAGGAGUCGUCAGCAGCACGUUACUGCAGCAGCACGUCAUAGCUG